AAAGUAAUGUAGGAUUUCGCAAUAAAAUAGUGGGUAAUUUGAGCUGAGAUAAUGGAGAUUUUAGAGCCGUAGGUAUAAACUGGAUCAAGCUGAAGACCUAAAAGAUCAAUGAAAUUCAGAACACAUCCUACACGUGAGAGCAUAUCCAGCCUCGAGUAUGGAAUGGUACGGAACAUGGCUUAAAGAAGAUGAAUUUCUUGUUUGUUUGUUUGUUUGUUUGAGAAUCAACACUUCCAACCUACAGAAAAGAAAUGAAAACUCCUGCUAACUUGAGGGUUGGCAGAUGCCUUUUUUUUUUGUCUCCAGCUGUCUGUGGUUUCCAUGUCAGCACAGACAUACUUACGCUGUAAAGCAGACAGACUGAUUAUGACCUGAUAAGGAAGCUUUGGUGUGGUCUGAUGAAAAACUGCCCAAAGCAGAGGGAUGCUGAGCUGCCUGCCCAUCACUCCUGCUUUCCCUAAUCAGUUUAAAGUGUGGCUC
rnacentral:sRNA from 1 species